rfam:Nelumbo nucifera unplaced genomic scaffold scaffold00140, whole genome shotgun sequence
GAAAUGAGAAACAGUCAAGCUAGCCAUGGAGAUUGCCCAUGAACCACACAAGGUCAUUCUAAGACCUAACAGAGCAUUUCAUUAAUUUUGAUACCCUUGGGAGGACACAGGCAAAUCAUCCUUGGCUACCAAACGGGCUCUUAUCU